UGGACGUGACACACCUAUAUAAAAAUUAACAAAUAAGGGAAGGCUAAGUUCGGGUGCGACUCGAACUCUCGGCAUAAAGUCCAAUAGAAUAACGAAAAUCAUCAUAUAUGGUAUAUGAGGGCUGAUGUAAUUCUUAAACCGAUUUCACCAAUCGAUUGAACCAAUCAAAAUCUCCGCCAUGACCGCCAUUCAUAUGAAAAAAAUUUGAAGUGAGUUGAUAGCGGUACUAUGUUUGACUGGAUGCUCCAGCUUAUUUUAAAGGAAAAUAACUGCAGAAAAUGGUCUCGGAAGACAAAGCGAGAUGCAACGCACAUCUGGUGCGUACAUACAAAACUAAAACGAGAAGCAGAGCAAGGAUUAUGGCACUUUAGGCAGAUGGAGUUGGUAUUAAUACUUCCCAUGCUUAUAAUAUUAGUGGAUAAUCGCCAAAUGGUGUAACAAAUAAAGCAGCAACAACAAGUAGUACAUACUCAAAUUCACAAUAAAAGUAAAAUCGCACAACGCAACAGGCAUAUAACAAGGCAUCGGAUGAUGUACUACAAAUUACAUCGGACCUUUGGAGUCGCACUUUCAACACUUAUUAUCGACGUGCUAAACACAGUGUUUCCUAUGAUGCCCUUGGAUCUACACAAUGGAUAAUUAACAGAGCUCUAAAAACGACAUUAAGGCGCCGAAGUUGUUCAUCUUACUUCUGAUUUGAUUAUGGAGGCAUUAUUAGGCUGAACUUACAAUUUAUCAUUUUCAAUAUUAUGAUUGUUAAUUUAUAAAUUUUGAACGUACGCAAUAGCACUCAAUUUAUUAAUAUAAAUGAAAAUAUUCUUAAAUAAGCAUCC